rnacentral:rRNA from 1 species
GAUGAACGCUGGCGGCGUGCCUAAUACAUGCAAGUCGAGCGAACGGACGAGAAGCUUGCUUCUCUGAUGUUAGCGGCGGACGGGUGAGUAACACGUGGAUAACCUACCUAUAAGACUGGGAUAACUUCGGGAAACCGGAGCUAAUACCGGAUAAUAUUUUGAACCGCAUGGUUCAAAAGUGAAAGACGGUCUUGCUGUCACUUAUAGAUGGAUCCGCGCUGCAUUAGCUAGUUGGUAAGGUAACGGCUUACCAAGGCAACGAUGCAUAGCCGACCUGAGAGGGUGAUCGGCCACACUGGAACUGAGACACGGUCCAGACUCCUACGGGAGGCAGCAGUAGGGAAUCUUUCGCAAUGUGCGAAAGCCUGACAGAGCAACGCCGCGUGAGUGAUGAAGGUCUUCGGAUCGUAAAACUCUGUUAUUAGGGAAGAACAUAUGUGUAAGUAACUGUGCACAUCUUGACGGUACCUAAUCAGAAAGCCACGGCUAACUACG